CAAGAGUUUGGUCUGCCAGGCUCCCAACAAAGGGAUAGCCAUGAGAGACUUUACACUUUGGGGGUUAAUGUGGACAGAAGAAGGGGCUAGAUGACUAGAAGAAAGAAAGGGAAGAAUGACUAAAGAAUGAGGAUUUCCCCUAUUAGGGGUGCUCAGGCUUUGGAUUUCUUCAUUGGAGAGCUCUAAGAAUCGGCGUGUGUUUCCCUUCUACUUCCUACUCCUUUUAUAGGCCUGAGGUAACUUAAUUUUCAUGCCAACUUCUAGCUGAGUGCGCCCCCCUGAACUUACGGAGAAUGAUGGUUUAAUCACGUGCUUAGUGCGGUGUUCACGCUAAGCGCACCCUUGGGCUUUCUUGUGGGCCUUCUUCGUGCUAAGCAUGAGCUGGCCGCUGAGUGAGCACACGCACUGGGCCUGUCUCGUGUGCUAAGCGAGCUGUUCACUUCUUCAAACUUUUCUUCAAGGAAUUUUCUUUGAGUUUUUGCAUCAAUUUUCCUCUAAAGCAUUUGAAAUCUUCUUUUUUUGACUUCUGCUAAUAAAAAAUUAUAAAGAUGUUAAUUUCUUCAUUAUUUCAUUAAAAUCAAUAGUAAAGUGAAGAAAUUAUAAUCAUUAUUAACCAAAAUUAACUAUCAAAUUAACUCAAAUUUCGUAAUUAUCAUAUUCUCAAAACACUUUUUGAAAGCCAUUUUGCAUAUGAAAAGAUUAGAUGAUGCAUGCACUGUCAUACGUUUCCAGUCUUUACAAUAAAGUUAAAAUAUUUUUUAUUUAGCAAGAUAAAGCUAUUCUCCCUCGCUUGUGACCAGUCCGCAUCCCUUCUUCGAAGAAUACAUCAUGGCAGAAGACCGUCCACAGAGGAUGGCGCUAGAGGACUACUCUAGCUCUACCACACCUCAAUACUUCACCAGUAUUUCUAGACCAGAUGUGCAAGUAGCUAGCAUCUCAUAUCCACAUUCCUUUCAUCCAGUUGAUUCAGGGGAAUAUGUUUCACAGCCUACCAAGUGAAGAUCCGUACGCACAUCUGACCACAUACAUUGAGAUCUGCAACAUGAUGAAGGUAGCGAGAGUUCCAGAGGAUGUCAUCUAUCUCAACCUAUUCUCUUUCUUUUUGGACGGUGAAGCAAAAAGAUGGCUUCACUCGUUCAAGGGGAAUAGCCUACGGACAUGAGAUGAAGUGGUGAAGAAGUUCCUGAAGAAGUACUUCCCAGAGUCCAAGACUGCCAAGGGGAAGGUCCAAAUCUCAUCCUUCCACCAACAUCCUGACGAAUCCUUGAAUGAAGCCCUUGAUCGCUUCCACGGGUUACUCCGGAAGACUCCUACACAUGGGUUUAGUGAGUUAGUCCAGCUCAACAUCUUCAUUGAUGGCUUCCAACCCCAUUCCAAGAAACUCCUCGAUCCCUUAGCCGGUGGGAAGAUUAAGUUUAGACUCUAGAAGAAUCCAUGAAGCUGAUAGAGAAUAUGACAACAAUUGAUCAUGCCAUUCUUCGUGAUCGAGCCUACACACCUACAAAGAAAAGCCUUAUUGAGCUCACUUCUCAAGAUGAUAUGUUGGCUCAAAACAAGCUCCUGACCAAGACCUUGGAGACUCUUACAGCCACUUUGAGUAAUCUUCCCCAACAACUACAUGCAGUGCAACCUGCUUCAGCCAUGCACAGUGGAGGAUGCAACCUUUGUGGGGGUGCUCAUGAGUCAGGCUCAUGCAUGGUUCAAGACGAUGCAACCAACGAGGUCAACUACAUGGGAGCUCAGAAUCUCCAUGGAUUCCAAGGCUACAACCAAGGAGGACCACUUGGAUUCAAUCAAGGGAAAAAUUUCACACAGGGAUAAAGCUGGAGGAAUCAUCCGGGUAACCAGUUCAACAAGGAGCAAAAAAGUCAGUCUGUCCAAAAUUCCAACGAAGGGGUCGAUCUUUAUGAGAAGACCAACAAGCUUGAGGAGACAUUGAAUCAAUUCAUACAGAUGUCCAUGUCCAACCAUAGGAGCACAAAGUCAUCAAUCAAGAACUUGGAGAUACAAGUGGGACAAUUAGCCAAAUAAAUGGCUAAAAGACCCAUUAGCAGCUUUAGAGCCAACACUGAGAUAAAGCUCAAAGAGGAGUGCAAGGUAAUUUUCACUAUGAGGGAAACUGCAGAGAAGGAAAGGAGAAUUAAGGAGGAUAUGCGUGAUGAGGAAGGAGAAAAAAAGAAGAGGGAGGAAAAGAUAAGAGUAAGGAGAGUGGUAAUAAGGUCUCAACCACUAAGACCAAGACCAAGAGCCAGUUAGCUCAGGAGGCCAGAAGAGAGAUACCACCAGCCUCAUCAAAAAAAGGCACCAUACCCUCUAGUGCCAUCAAAGAAGGACAAGGAACGCUACUUCAAGUAGUUCCUUGACAUAUUCCAGAAGUUGGAGAUUACUAUCCCUUUUGGAGAGACCUUACAACAGAUGUCAUUGUACAAAAAGUUCUUAAAGGAUUUCCUCAUAAAAAAAAGGAAAGUACAUAAAAAACAAAACCAUUGUGGUGGGAGAAAAUUGCAAUGCAGUAAUACAGAAGCUACCUCCCAAGUUCAAAGAUCCAGGAAGCGUCACCAUCCCAUGCUCUAUUGGGAGUGUAUUCGUAGGUAAGGCUCUUAUUGACUUAGAAGCAAGUAUCAAUUUGAUGUCACUUUCUAUGUGCAAGAGAAUUGGAAACCUGAAAAUUGACAUUUCAAGGAUAGCACUCUAGCUAGUCGACCGUUCCAUCACUAAACCGUUCAGGGUAGUUGAAGACGUCCUGAUCAAAGUCCACCAACUCCCUUUUCCGGUGGAAUUUGUGAUCAUGUACAUUGAAGAAGAUGUUGAGAUCCCCUUGAUUUUGGGUCAGUCAUUCAUGGUGACUAUAAAGUGUGUUGUGCACAUAUGGAAGGGCAAACAUCUCUGCCUUUUUCUCAGUCGGAGAAGCUCCUCCCUAUGCUGCAUAGCCUCCACCAUGGCUAGUACCUACUGAUGUAGAGCCUCCACCAUCUCUCCCUCCGGCAGCCGAUGAUGACACCAGAGGCAUUCCUAGCCCAUGUUGCUUGGCCAGGAGUCCAACCUCCUUGUGUUAGGGGGGUGACACCUUUGGUGUAGCUGAUGAUGAUGCCGCAAAUGUUGAAGCUAAUGAUGAUUAUGUUGCGAACAUCAAUGAUGCUUAUAGAGCUUGGGAUCUAGGACCCACACAGGAUUGAGACCCAUUUUUUUACCAAGAUUUAUUAUUUUUUUUCUCUUUUUAUUUUAUUUUUCUUGUCUUUAGUUUUUUCUUUUUCUUUAUUUGUCUUUAUUUCAAUUUUAGCAGUUUAAUUUAAAUCAUUGAAUAAAAAAUUUGCAUUAUAGGGACAGAGGAAAUUAGUAAUGGGCUAUGACUUGUUCUGGAUAAGUUGAUGCAUGAGAUACUGUGUACUGAUGAGAUAAUUGUGAAAGUUCUGAUUCUUAUGAGCAGGUGUCAUUCUGAGUGAUGAAGUAUGAAUCGAAAGCACAAGAGUAUAGAUGUUAGCACGUCUGAAUGGAAAUCAUUGUAUGAUAAGCCAAGCACUUCAUAAAUGUCCGAUGAGUUGUGCGAACCUUUGACUAUGAGAGAACGAUUGUUCUUAAUUUUCUGAUUUUGCAUGAUUCUCAGACUGUUUGAAUACAUACACAUGGUGGAAAUAAUCAAGGCCUUGUUUGAUUUUCUUAGCCACUUAGCCAAAUAGCCAACCUGUUAUGUGAAUGAAUCCCUUGCAUCCUGUUGAGCCUAAUGCAGUAAAUUGUUUUUGAAACCUGAACCUAAUGAAAUUAAUUACCACAUUAUCUUAGGUUGUAGGAAAGCACAUGUCAAGGCAAAUUUACCCUUAAUUUGGGGGAGUUGGAAUGUUGGUAUUGGUGAAAAAUUUUGUUACAAGAACAUCACCAAUAGCACACACUCAAAUGCAAAGGUGAUAAGUUGCUACAGUACCCAUUCAAUUUCUUAAAAAAAAGAAAAAAAUUGAAAAAAAAUUAUGUUUCAAAUAAAGAGCCGAUAACAACUAAGUGUUAAAUAAAUUUUGUGUGUUGUUAGGAAUAAAAGGCAGGAAAGUCAGGGGCUAUGAAAUAUAAGUCAUAGGUUAUCAGGUAGGUGCUAUCUUAGAAUCUAAUUUUGAAUCCAAAGAAAAACCAUGAGUUCCUUUUUAGCCCGGCCAAGUUACAAGCCUAAAAAGUCCUUAGUGAUCCAUAAUAUGUGUGUAUGAUUACAUUAACUGAGAUGAAGUGCAAAGUUGAGAAUAUUAUUUUUAGUUGUUAGAUUAAAAACACUCUUAGCCAAGACACUUGUGCGCUGAGAGAAACACUGGCCUUGUGAGGAAUGAAGUGUGGUAAGUCUGCCUUGAUGAAGUUUUACUUGCUAACCUUUUUCAUCUCCAUGUGUAUUCCUUCUUGCUUUCAUCACAAGAUCAAGACAAAUGCAAGCUCAGGAUCAGUCAGUGAAAGGUUUGAAAAGGUUUCACAGUUAUCUCAUGUGUUGAUACUUUCAGACUUGUCUUUUGCUUGAGGACAAGAAAAUGUUUUAAUUUGGGGGAGUUUGAUAAUUGCAAAAUAUGAGCUAAUUUGAUAGUCAAUUUUGACUAAUAAAUAGGUGUAAUUUCUUUACUUUAUUAUUGUUUUUAAGGAAAUAAUGAAGAAAUCAACAUCUUUGCAAUUUUUUAUUAGUAGAAUUCAAAAGAAGAAGAUUUCAAGUGCUUUAGAGGAAAAAUUGAUGCAAAAACUAGAAGAAAAAACAUUGAAGAAGAGUUGGAAGAAUUGGAUAGCUUGCUCAAUGCAUAAUCUAGGCUCAGUGCGUAACUCUCGCUUAGCGGACAAAUCCAGGCUUAGCGUGAAGUCUUGCUCAGCGCCCCACUCUCGCUUAGCGCACAGGUCAGGCUUAGCGCGAGAAGGUUCACGAGGAAAUGUCUAAGGCGCACUUAGCACGAAGUAAGCGUGAAAAUUAAGCUACUUAGCGCCUAUAUAAGGAGAAGGAAGCAGAAAGGAAAAGAAGAACCGAGUCCUAGAGCUAUCCAAAGCCUGAACCCCUUAAGGGAAACCCUUUUUUCUUAUCCAUGCCCCCUUUUCUUACUACUAGUCAUCCAACCAUUUCUUUUAUUAGCCUCUGAAGUGUAAAGUCUUUCAUGGCUAUAAGAGGCUAAACCUCAUUUGGGAGCCUAGCAGCCAACGCCCUUGUAAUGCAAUUGCUCUUCUUAUCUAUUAAUACAAUUUCAAUUUCUAUUAUUCUUUUCUGCUUUUCAUUGUUAUUGUGUGGUUUGGUCAUCCAUGCAUAUGUUUUUAGGGAUUAUUCAUUGGGAAAUGGUAAUGUCUAAAGAACCGGGAAACAGCAUCUCAACAUUGCAUUACUAGGGAUAGAGUGACUUUGUUGUGUCUCUGCAUACAUCUUUACACUUAAUGUGGUUUAUGAUUCAAUCUUUGCAAAGGGAUUUGAGAGAGAGAAUACAUAAAUUAGACUUUUCAUCAUGAGGGAUCAAUGUUGAGCAUAUUAGUAGAUAUGGGUGGAAAUUGUGAAAACAGUUAAUAGAGAAAAACAUUAGUAUUACAUCAAGGGUAGUUAGACAUGUUAGGCCCUAACAUGAUUGCAUUCUGAACUCAUCUUUUACAUUCAUCUUUGUUCUCUUCUUGUUUAUUUUAUUAUUCUUGUCUUUUUAAAUUUAAUUUCUUUCCUUUUCUUUAUUGCUAUUCUACCCCCUUUCUUCUCUUGCUUAUAAAUUGAAUAUUUACCAACGCAAGUACAAACAAAGUCUUUGUGGAUUCGACACUCAAUCUUUCGUUUUAAUCUUUAUUACUUAUUAUAAAAUUGGUACACUUGACAAUCUGUUAACCGCAUAUGACAUGAAAAAUGCGUAUGACAUCGAGUAUGCAAAAUAAAUAUCCACCAAUUUUAUAUGCCAAAUUGCAAAAAAAAAAAAAAAUACCUCAUUGACACUUCAAAAUUGAAACCAAAGGUAAUUUAAUGGCAGACAAAAUACCUCAAAUGUAAUACACAUACAUACCACCAUAUAGUGCUUCAUCGGAGCGCCUCCAUAGUCUUUGACCAAAAUGGAAAGUAGGAUUUGCUAAGACACCAACAACUACAAUGGAUUCCAACGCUGGGCUGUUCGGGCAUCGUUUGAAAGAAGCGCAAUCUCGACGGUGAGAACAACAACGGAUUUCAGAACCAUAUAACAGAAAACAAAAUAACAUCUCAAAAAGGGGAUGUUCUAACCUUAUUACACACAAGUAAAUGCUUCAACCAUGGUUAAACCAAGC
rnacentral:lncRNA from 1 species